rnacentral:rRNA from 1 species
GUGGGGAAUAUUGGACAAUGGGCGAAAGCCUGAUCCAGCCAUGCCGCGUGUGUGAAGAAGGUCUUCGGAUUGUAAAGUACUUUAAGUUGGGAGGAAGGGCAGUAAGUUAAUACCUUGCUGUUUUGACGUUACCGACAGAAUAAGCACCGGCUAACUUCGUGCCAGCAGCCGCGGUAAUACGAAGGGUGCAAGCGUUAAUCGGAAUUACUGGGCGUAAAGCGCGCGUAGGUGGUUCAGUAAGUUGGAAGUGAAAUCCCCGGGCUCAACCUGGGAACUGCUUUCAAAACUGCUGAGCUAGAGUACGGUAGAGGGUGGUGGAAUUUCCUGUGUAGCGGUGAAAUGCGUAGAUAUAGGAAGGAACACCAGUGGCGAAGGCGACCACCUGGACUGAUACUGACACUGAGGUGCGAAAGCGUGGGGAGCAAACAGGAUUAGAUACCCCAGUAGUCC